UACGGAAGGCAGCAGUGGGGAAUAUUGCACAAUGGGCGAAAGCCUGAUGCAGCUAUGCCGCGUGUAUGAAGAAGGCCUUAGGGUUGUAAAGUACUUUCAUCGGGGAGGAAAAACAAAACUAAUAAUUUUAUUUCUUGACGUUACCCGAAAAAGAAGCACCGGCUAACUCCGUGCCGGCAGCCGCGGUAAUACGGAGGGUGCUAGCGUUAAUCAGAAUUACUGGGCGUAAAAGAGCACGUAGGUGGUUUUUUUAAGUCAGAUGUGAAAUCCCUGGGCUUAACCUGGAACUGCAUUUUUGAAACUGAAAUACUAGAGUAUCGUAGAGGGAGGUAGAAUUCUAGGUGUAGCGGUGAAAUGCGUAGAUAUCUGGAGGAAUACCUGUGGCGAAAGCGGCCUCCUAAACGAAUACUGACACUGAGGGUGCGAAAGCGUGGGGAGCAAACAGGGAUUAGAUACC
rnacentral:rRNA from 1 species